rnacentral:rRNA from 1 species
UACGGAGGGUGCAAGCGUUAUCCGGAUUCACUGGGUUUAAAGGGUGCGUAGGUGGAUUAGUAAGUCAGUGGUGAAAUCUCCGGGCUUAACCCGGAAACUGCCAUUGAUACUAUUAGUCUUGAAUACCGUGGAGGUCAGCGGAAUAUGUCAUGUAGCGGUGAAAUGCGUAGAUAUCGGGAGGAACACCAGUGGCGAAGGCGACUACCUGGCCUGUUCUUGACGCUGAGGCGCGAAAGCUAGGGGAGCAAACGGG